AAGAUUUCCCGAGAAAAUCAAAGUAGGAAACCGAGAGAAAGUGAGGUAAAAUGGUUGGUGGCGCUUCGAGAUGGGGAUUAAUCCGAAUCAUGGCCGGUACCAUUCUCGGUGGUGUUUUCGGCUUCUACAUCAUGCACCAGGUCGAGAUAAGCUACAAGGAGAAGAUGAAUGAGAGAUUGAAAAAGUAUGAAAGCGAAUUGAAGAAGAAAGAGAAGAUGAAUGAACUUAAAGAGUCUAUGUAGAUUUGAAUUGUUAAUUUUUUCUUUUACUUGUUUUGCUGAGAGUGCGUACGAAUUGAAGAAGAAAGAAAAAGAUGAAUGAACUUACAAGAGUAUUUAUACGAUUUUCCUCUUCCUUCAAUGUUCAUUUAUUUUUUCAUUCAAAGGAUUUUUAGCCCGAAUUCUAUAUAUAUGAUAUAACAUUAAAAAAAAAAAAAAAAAAAGAAAAGAAGAAAAAAGCUCGAAAUCAGGUGAAUGGGGAAAUGGAAGCGAAUAUUCAGAUAUUCAGAUAAUCAGGGAGAUAACGAAAUGCUUGGAAGCCGAAAAAGCUCUGGCCACCAGAGAGUUGGAGCUCACCAAGACACUUUACAUGUCUCAGUUCUACAUGAUCUGCUUGGAAUUCAACGCUGGUAAUUUUCGUUGUCAGUAAAAGGGUACUUGAAGGGGAGAAGAUCAAUCAUGGUGCGAUAUUGUAUGUUAAUAUCUAUCUGUCUGUAUUUUGUGAGGACAGCGAGAUGGGGUUAGAACAUGGAUAGACUAGUUGUUUUAGUGAAGAGAAGCUUUAAUAGUUUCGAAUUAAGUACAAUUAAGCCAUACACUUCGAAUGAUAAAUGUCGAAGGUUCUUACUUGCCUAUAUGCUACAUGCUGAUAGUUUAAAAUUUGUUGACAAAUCCUUUAUAUCCUAGCAUUAAGUCUCAAAAUUUUAAAACCACGAAUUAGCAUUUGACAUUUUACCGACGUGAACCUUAAGAUAUCCACCUUUCAUUGGUGCAACCGUACAUAUGCUUUAUUCUAGCUUCAGGUUGUUUCAUUUUCUCAAUUCCCAGUCUUAAAAAUUUAGAACCCGAGUUAGCAUUUUACAUGUUUAAGUUCAUGAAGCAUAAGAUGUCCAUUAUUCAUGGAUACACAUGCUUUAUUUUAGCUUUAGGUUUUUUCAUUUUCUGAGCUCUUUAUAAUGCAACAGUAGGGUUAUGUAAGCAGAUCUAAUAUUAUAGUUUUUGCCUAGUAUGCUUUGUACUAAAUACUAAAUAUCUCUAGUUUACUAUUAAUAUCAAUUUCAAGAGUAUACAGUAUAUACUAUAAUAAUUUGUUUGGCAGAAUAUUUCAACUAAGUAAUAAUUACAGAUGGAGUUUUGCUUUUAUGCUCUGAACAUUGUUAUUGUUGCUCUAAGUCAUCAUGGUACAGAAUGGAUAUCAAGAAAACCCGAAAUUGCUGAAGGAUAUUGAUGGUUUGGAAACUACAUUGCUUUCAGUCAUCGUUAUUGAUGAUGACCUGAGGAUGAUGGUAAUGAUUUUGUUGCUCUUGUAGCAUAUCUUUGUUGGGGGAUUUGGAAAGGAAGGAAUGGGAUGGUUCAUGAAGGGAGAGCCCCACAUCCAACGUUUACUGUCCAAAGUGCUUGGGUGCCAUGGAUGGAUUUUCCACUGUGGAUCAAAAUGAGUCUGCAUAAUGGAUCUGUUACUCAUAUAAAAAAUGCACCAUUCGCCUUCUUGGAACCAUCCCACAGGUGCAACUUUAAAACUCAAAUUAUGAUUUGAAUCAUAUAUGUGUCUAAUGCAAGAGCAGCAGCAGUAGGGAUUGUAGUACUCAAUUCUCAAGGCUUUGUCAUUCAAUGUGGAUACAUGGUAAUCCUGUGUCAAAAUAAGGCUGCAAGGUAUCAUAAUGGAUCUAUUCCUCAAUCAACAAUGCACCGUUCAACUUCUAGGAACCCUCUUACAGGUGCAACUUUAAAACUCAAUUUAUGUUUUGGAUUAUAUAUGUGUCUAAUGCAAGUGAAGCAGCAGUAUUCAAAUCUCAAGGCUCUAUUAUUCAAUGUGGAUACAUGGUAAGCCACUGUGAUUCUAGCCUUAAGCUGAGUGCAUGGGGAUGUUUUCUGCUUGUGCUUGGGCUGUUGGGCAUUUAAUGAAGGAUGGCACUGUGUCAUAUUUGAAGGAGAUUCCAAAGAGCUCAUAGAUGGAAUAGCACCCCCUGAUUUUACUUUACAUUGGCACCUGUCUGCUGUUUUAAUUCAUACUGAAGCCAUGUUUGGGAUGGCUACCAAAAAGCUACUUAUGGCUUUUAAAGCAAGUGCUUUUAAGAGUGAUUGGAUAAUUUUGUGGCAGUGUUUCCAGAAAGGUAACCAAACUAAUGGUGCUGCUGAAUGGUUAGCUAAGGCAGUCCAAAAGAAGAAAUUUGUCUGCACCCUGUAUAACCUUUUAUUUCUUCAAUGACAGAUGAGGUUUGACCCAAUAAUUUUAAAAAAUAAUAAUAAUAAAAUAAUCAUAAAUGGAAACAAAAAAAAAUGCUCCUACAAGGGUCACUGGCCAAUGUAGAAAUCAAUUAUUUUCCUUUUUUCACAUUUUUUAUUACAAUUUCAAAUCACUUACACGAAAAGAAAAUUUUUAACUUUCUGAUCAAUUUUCGAUUUUUUCUUUGUCCUGAAGUGUCACUUUCGGUAGUAUUGUCUCUCCGUUACUUUUAUUAUUAUUAUUAUUAUUAUUUUUUAUAUAAAGGGAAACAGAAAUACAAAAUAUCUCAUUUUUAUUCAUUUUUCAACUUGCUUCCUAAUUUUUUUAAGCACUUUUGCUGCUAAUUUAUUUUAUAAUGUCAUAUUGUAUAUUUUUAAUUUUA